AAUUAAUUUGAACNAUUAAUUAUUAUAAUAUAAUAUAAUAUAAUAGUCAUUAUUGUCAUUAUUAAUAUGAUUAUUAUUUGUCAAAAAUAAAGAAAUUAAUUUCCAAAAAAAAAAAAAACCCAUUUAACAUCACACGAGAACGGACUCCUCCUGGACCGUUUGCGGCGUCGCUUCUCUCAGAUCACAGAGAGGAAAUCAUCAUCAUCAUCAUCAUCAUCAUCAUCAUCACGCGGACUCAGAUGGCCCGAGGCGCUGCGUCGAUGAAAUUGGAUAUUUAAGGCAGUGCAGAAAGCAGUUCACGUUCACUCUCAGCGGGCGCGCGGCUGGAGAGUCAGAGGGGGUAGACGCGCGCUCUGUAACUGACUGACAAAUAAUAUGAGGCUACAGUGUUGUGAACGAGGCUUCAUAUAACGUGACCGGGAAGAGAACAAGGCACGGACUCGAGUCCUCGUUCAACGCGGAGGCUGAGGAGGAGGACGGUGGAUGACCGCGAGCGCUCCCUUCAGCGCGCAUUACCAAUGCGUCAGAAGAGCGCGUGUCUCUGAACUCCAGCUGCAGACAUUUGGCACGGACUUGCUUGACGUUGCUAAUUGGAGCUCAAAACGUUGCAUGUCACUGAAUGCAAAACUGUAUGCAGGUGGGUUUGUGCCCCCCUAAUGUUGUUCUG
ensembl:lncRNA